rnacentral:ncRNA from 1 species
GUACGCCUCUGGGGGAGCUCGGGGACGCCGGGCUGAGAGUGCGACCUGCCAGUGUAGCAUGUCACUGGCGCCGUCGCAGACCCUCAAGAACCCGAUCCAGACAAUGCUGGCGUGGGGAGCGAGGGAGCUGACCACA